GGUAUAGAUGUUGAAUGUUGUAGUCCCCAUUUAUCAUACAACAAAAUUUAUUCAAAUUCGCAAUUGGUAAUGCUGUGAAAUCGGGCGGAACUUUUUGGACACCCUGUAUAUUGGUGUGAUGCUUCUCUCCACUACUGCUCUAAAUCAUUCAAUUAUCGAAGUUAUUACUAAUUGUUUCUGAAACAGUAACCAUAUUCUGUUUUAACUAGUUCAAAAGAAAAAGAAAAAAAACACAGCCCAACCUCUUCUAUAUACCUUUUCAUAUUUUUGUUGUUGAAUUUUCUUAUCGUGAAUAGAAUGAAUGGAGAAUUGGAAUUUGCCUCAGCCCCUAUCAUUUGUCAAUUCUAAGGUUCUAGUUUUCAUGUUUUAGUUUGAAAACUCUGGUUGACAGUUAUGUACCCACUAACUCCAUCACAGGGUCAUACUUGUCUGAAUACAGUUGAUGCUUUCUCAGAGCCUUGCUUAGAGAAAAUUCUUAUAUUUUGCUGCAAAGUUUCUUUUUAUUGUUAUCUGCCAAUUUUUUCCUCUCGCCGAGCCUGUAGUGUAUUUUUUUUGUUUCAAUUACCAAUGUGCCUAAUAUAGUAUUUCUGCUAUCUUAUUUAUUUUUCUAUUAACUUGUAAUAUUACUAUAAGAUGCUUAUUGCUCGGCUUUGUUUAGUACGAAUUUUUAUUUCAACACUGUUAUUGCAAACAAUGAUGCUCCUCUCAUGAUUGUUAUUGUAAAAUAUCAUGCGCAUGUUUAAACUAUCGCCAUCAGGAGUAUAUGACUGCUUUAACAGGGAUAAAAAGAUUAUUUUAUUCUGUAUCUGCCCUUAUAUUCUCAAUUUGGAAAUUAUUUAUUUAAGAUGUGCUAUCGAUUAGGUUUCUGUGGGACUAUUUACCUAUUCUUCUUUCUGUGCUUUUGCGUCGGUGGGUCCGUAUGCAUGCUGCAGCAACAUUGAACUAUCCGAAGUAAUUGAAAAUUCUUGCUGCACACUAACACAAAUAUGUUUCUGUAAUGUUUCUUUCAAGGACAGACAUGAGAUAUUUGUUUAAGAUGUGUUGAAAGGAGCAUGAUUCUCAUUAGGUCGCUUUCGUUUCGUCUAAAUUGGGAAAUAUUCCUCAGUUUGUUCAAUGUGUGGCCCCAUGUCGAAGUAUAUUGCCUGCAAUUAUAGGUAUUUUUCCAGUUUUGUAGUCUCUAAUCAUUCUUUAAAAAAAUACUUUUCUUUUAUUAAAAAUGUUAUAUUAUCAUAAUUGCUGCAUAACACUUGAACAUAUUAAACUUGAAAGUUUCAUUUCACUGCUAUGUUUUUCUAUUAUUAGCCAACUUAGAAAUGUAUUCAUCGUAACUAAUCAAUUCGGCUCUUUUUCUGAUUGAAAUAUGGAUUACCUCCAUCAUAGUGGAGUUGAUGUCGUACGCUAUGUUCAGACAUCACUAGCAGAAAGUAAGAAUGCGAUGUUGCUUAUGUCAAAAGCUGGAGAUCCAAGGAAUGCAUUUCUUAUUUAUUUUCCAUUGAUUUAUGCAUUGAGUCAUCAUCAUGGUAGAAGGAUAAUGUGGGCUGGAGUGGUGUCAGAAUGGCUUAAUAUUGUCUUUAAAUGGGUUCUAUUCGGACAUCGGCCAUACUGGUGGGUUCAUGAAUAUAAACAUUAUACUGCUGAUGAAAUGGAACAAUUCCACCUAACAUGUGAGACUGGGCCUGGAAGUCCAUCAGGUCAUGCAAUGGUUACUGCUGCUGUUUUUUAUAUUAUAGCUGAUGCAAGUUCUUCCAGGAUGCCAAGGUUUCUUCCUCAUUUGAUUUUCCUGAUUGCAAUGAUUCCUGUAAAUCUAGCCAGAAUAUUUAUUGCUGCUCAUUUCCCACAUCAGGUUAUUGCGGGAACAAUAUGUGGAAUUGUUAUUGCUGUCUGUCUAGACAAGUACACAGAUGUUCAGCAUUGGCAUUGCAAAGAUUAUUUGAAAAUCGCAAUAGGAUUAUUUUUCUCUUGCAUAGGAUUCAGCUGGACGCUCGGACAGUUAGGUGUGGAUUUCCACUGGACUUUGUCACUGGCUAACAAAUGGUGUAAAAACCCUGAAGAGUGGGUCAGUCUCAAUACUACACCAUACAACUCUUUGAUAAGGGACGUGUUCAUCUUAGCUGGUUUUGGUUUGGCACAGUUGCUUGCAAGGAAACUGAAGAUACAUAAACACAGGGGGCUGCUUUUCAAUGCUUCAGAAUGUAUUUUAAGUGUUCUAGCAGUAAAUGCUUUAGAAUUAUACCACUUUGCACACACUUCUAUGCUAUCUUUCUAUAUAUUCAGUGCCAUUAAACACACACUAAUUCCGUUUCUUGUAGUAUUUAUUAUUCCUUUUAUUCUUUCAAAAUUUUCCUCUCAUCACCCAGUGAUAUCGUAUUCACACAAGACAGAUUAGCAUUUUUAUAAACAAUGUAGGUGAGAUACUGGUGCAUAUAAUAGGUAAUUGUGAUUUUAUAUAUAUUGUUAUGACGUUCCAAAAUAAACUGGUGCAAUUGCAGUUGUUUGAAUAUUUCUAUUUGGGAGAAGUACAUAUGAACUUAGCAGCAUUUAGCAUCCUUUAACUUG